UUUUUAUAAUUUCAAAAGGUUUUGCGCUUGUUAUUUUCUUUAGUGUAAAAAAGUAUAGUUUUCCAGAACAUUAAAAUUCCUAAACUUGUACUAAAAGCAAUAGGCUAACAAAAUUCUUACUGAAAUUUUCUUUAUUAAGAUUCUUCUUAAUUUUUACCUUUGUGAUAUUCUAAGUUUUCAUAUUCAUUACAUACUAAUAUUAACCUCAUAUUCCCAACCCCAAAUUAUGUCUUAAAAGCUUUUAAAUUCUUCAUUUUCUAAUUUUAGAUACAGGACCUUUCUGCAUAGAUUAUAGUUCUGAGGUACAAUACCACCACAUAUUUGGUUGACUUCUUUCUAUACAAACAAGUCACGAAUAAUAUAAAUGAGCUUAGAUUAGAUCAGAUGCGAUGAGGGUUGAAGAGUGAUGGUUGAUGCAAACAAGAGAGGUGAUGAGUAUUGUUCUUGCCGCAUGAUGAAUUACGCUAUAUCAUGCCUUAAAACAAUGGAUUGUUCUUCAGGAUCAAAGACUUUUUAGCAAACAGCACAAUGGGAAAGAUAUAGUCCUUUAUCAUUUAGCAAAAAGUGAAACUUGCAAUAAGAAUGUUGAGACUUCUUUUCAAGUCUCAAAGAAUACAAUGGUGUGAGUGCUGAUGAGAAUGUACACACCUUGUCCUUGGUAACAGGCGCAGUGUAUUUUGUUGUUCUUUUCCUCUGCAGGACUGUUCUGUGAUGAUGUGUAAGCUGUUUUGAUCUCUGAGUACUUAAAGUGGAGCGGGAACUCUUCUACCCUUGGAGGUGUUAGUAGGAUUCUAAUGAUUCUGUUUGAUCUACCAUGUUAAACACAAAUGAAAUAAAUCAAGAGAAAUACACAUACUUUCUUCCACCUGGUGAUUCAGGAACCCAAGAACCUUUACCUUGUGGCUACACCAUCCUUAGGGGCUUGAAGUCCUUAACAUUCAUCUGAAAAUGGAGAGACAGUACUAAAGAAGAAAUGCCUGACUUAAAAUCCCUGGCCUGGAAGAGACACCACUCUUGCUAUGUUAUUGGUGAGAACUAGUCAGCACAUUGGAAUGUAGGGGAAACUGAGUAGGUAGGCAGAAAUUGUUAAGGCCUUACAGCCCCAAAGUCUAGCCCACAGAUGACCGUC
rnacentral:lncRNA from 1 species